rnacentral:rRNA from 1 species
GAUGAACGCUGGCGGCAUGCCUAAUACAUGCCAGUCGAGCGACCAGACGAGGAGCUUGCUAUUCUGACGUUAGCGGCCGACGGCUGAGUACCACGUGGAUAACCUACCUAUACGACUGGGAUAACUUCGAGCAACCGGCGCUACUACCUGAUAAUAUUUUGAUCCGCCUGGUUCAAUAGUGAAAGACGGUUCUGCUGUGCCUUAUCGUUGGACCAGCGCCGCAUUAGCUAGUUGGUAAGGUAACGGCUUACCAUGACGACGAUGCGUAGCCGACGGGAGAGGGGGAUCGGCCACACUGGAAGGGAGACUCGGUCCAGACUCCUACGGGAGGCAACGGUAGGGAAUCUUCCGCAGUGCGCGAAGGCCUUACGGGACAACGCCGAGUGAGGGAGGAGGGUCUUCCGAUCGUAAAACUCUGUUAUUAGGGAAGAGCAAAUGUGUAAGUAACUAUGCACGUCUUGACGGUACCUAAUCAGAAAGCCACGGCUAACUACGUG